AUUGAACGCUGGCGGCAGGCCUAACACAUGCAAGUCGAACGAGUGGCGGACGGGUGAGUAAUGUCUGGGCAACUGCCUGAUGGAGGGGGAUAACUACUGGAACCGGUAGCUAAUACCGCAUACCAUCAGAUGUGCCCAGAUGGGAUUAGCUAGUUGGUGGGGUAACGGCUCACCAAGGCGACGAUCCCUAGCUGGUCUGAGAGGAUGACCAGCCACAGUGGAAGUGAGACACGGUACAGAGCCCUACGGGAGGCAGCAGUGGGUAAUAUUGCACAAUGGGCGCAAGCCUGAUGCAGCCAUGCCGCGUGUAUGAAGAAGGCCUUCGGGUUGUAAAGUACUUUCAGCGGGGAGACGUUACCCGCAGAAGAAGCACCGGCAAACUCCGUCCCAGUGGCCGCGGUAAUA
rnacentral:rRNA from 1 species